UACGUAGGUGGCGAGCGUUGUCCGGAUUUACUGGGCGUAAAGGGAGCGUAGGCGGAUUUUUAAGUGAGAUGUGAAAUACUCGGGCUCAACUUGAGUGCUGCAUUUCAAACUGGAAGUCUAGAGUGCAGGAGAGGAGAAUGGAAUUCCUAGUGUAGCGGUGAAAUGCGUAGAGAUUAGGAAGAACACCAGUGGCGAAGGCGAUUCUCUGGACUGUAACUGACGCUGAGGCUCGAAAGCGUGGGGAGUAAACAGG
rnacentral:rRNA from 1 species